ensembl:rRNA 5S_rRNA 5S ribosomal RNA
GCCAGCAGCUAUAUCACCCUGCAGCUCACAACUGGCAACCCACUGAAGCUCAGCAGGUGUGAGCCUGGUCAGUACCUGGAUGGGAGACCUCCUGGGAAAAACUAAGGUUGCUGCUGGAA